AGAUUGUCUAAGGACACAAGUUUGAUUUUUUUGAGGUAAGUUCUUUCACCUCCUCUUAAUUUUUGUCGAUAAAGUCUACCUGAUCUGUAUGAUAGCCAUGUGCAUGGCUCAUGCACCAAUUGUAAAAAUAAAAAUAGACAAACACUUUGCGGAAACGCAAUCAUAGAGAAAACCUAUGUUUUUAAUGUAAAGAACUAGAAAUAGGAAAGUCUGUUUUUUAAACACAACUGCAACAUUAUAUAGUUAAUGUUAUCGAUGAAUGAGACUAAAAAAUUAUGUCAACUUGGAGUUUUUGUCUGACAAUUUUUUUUUCAUCCACUUAUUGACGCCGUUAUUGAUGUAAAAACAAUCUCUUACCUACGUAUCAGGAAGAGUGCUCGGUAAUCUGCUUGUUUUAAACUCUGGACAGGGCAAAGUGGACCUUAUACAUUUUUUAUUUUGGCUUAGUUUAAGAGUUGGCUUUGUAAGAAAAUGGGAAAGUCCCUGCAUUGUAAAAAAAUUCUUCUCUUUCAGGUUUCAAGUUCGUUCUCCUACAUUUUUCCAAAAAUGUCGUGACCAGCAGUGGUACAUCCAGCAGCUUUUGGCUAUAAAAAGUAUGCAAGCUCAGCAAAUAAAUGAACUGAAAGCUCGUUUGGUGAUGGACUCUUCCCGUAACAUGAUGAAUGCUGUAAAAGGUAGCUCUUCAAAUUCUACAAGCAACAAUAAUAACUACAUUGUGACCAGCGAGGCUGGAUUGGACUCUCCAUCUGGCUCCGCCUACUCAGUACGCCUAGCAGAACCUCCAGUUUCGUCUCCUAGAUCAUGCGAGACUGCUCAAGUCACUUCCAAAACAUCAACAAAACCAGCAUCUUGGGAAAAUGACAGUAUCGUACCAAUUCUGAAUGCCUGCGCCCCCCUCAAAAGUCCUACGAAAAUUCGACCUCUCACUGCCUCUGUCUCAUCACCAGAACUUUUAUAA
rnacentral:lncRNA from 1 species